GACGAACGCUGGCGGCGUGCUUAACACAUGCAAGUCGAACGAAGUGGCGAACGGGUGAGUCACGCGUAAUCAACCUGCCCUUCAGAGGGGGACAACAGUUGGAAACGACUGCUAAUACCGCAUACUGAAGGAGGGGCUUGAGUCUGGUUAGCUGAUUGGCGGGGGAACGGCCUACCAAGGCGAUGAUCAGUCGCCGGGCUGGGAGGAUGGACGGCCACAUUGGGACUGGUACACGGCCCAGACUUCGACGGGAGGCAGCAGUGGGGAAUCUUCCGCAAUGUACGAAAGUCUGACGGAGCAACGCCGCGUGAGUGAUGACGGCCUUCGGGUUGUAAAGCUCUGUUAAUCGGGACGCGGUACCGGAAUAGAAAGCCACGGCUAACUACGUGCCAGCAGCCGCGGUAAUUC
rnacentral:rRNA from 1 species